UACGGGGGGGGCAAGCGUUGUUCGGAAUUACUGGGCGUAAAGGGCGCGUAGGCGGCCUCCGCAAGUCGACUGUGAAAUCUCCGGGCUUAACCCGGAACGGUCAGCCGAUACUGCGGGGCUAGAGUGCAGAAGGGGCAACUGGAAUUCUCGGUGUAGCGGUGGAAUGCGUAGAUAUCUGGAGGAACACCGGUGGCGAAGGCGGCAUCCUGGACCAACACUGACACUGAGGAGCGAAAGCCAGGGGAGCAAACGGG
rnacentral:rRNA from 1 species